rnacentral:rRNA from 1 species
GACGAACGCUGGCGGCGUGCUUAACACAUGCAAGUCGAACGGAAAGGCCCUGCUGUUGUGGGGUGCUCGAGUGGCGAACGGGUGAGUAACACGUGAGUAACCUGCCCUUGACUUUGGGAUAACUUCUGGAAACUGGGGCUAAUACCGGAUAGGAGCUCCUGCUGCAUGGUGGGGGUUGGAAAGUUUCGGCGGUUGGGGAUGGACUCGCGGCUUAUCAGCUUGUUGGUGGGGUAGUGGCUUACCAAGGCUUUGACGGGUAGCCGGCCUGAGAGGGUGACCGGCCACAUUGGGACUGAGAUACGGCCCAGACUCCUACGGGAGGCAGCAGUGGGGAAUAUUGCACAAUGGGCGGAAGCCUGAUGCAGCAAAGCCGCGUGCGGGAUGACGGCCUUCGGGUUGUAAACCGCUUUCGCCUGUGACGAAGCGUGAGUGACGGUAAUGGGUAAAGAAGCACCGGCUAACUACGUG